UGGGUAGCCUUCAGUAUGUCCGGUGUGUCGCGCGCAGCUUAACUCAGCGGGAUGACGUCUUCGUUAGCUCCCGGUAUAAACACGGCUGGCCCGGCGUCCUCCUAUUCUGAGCCGCCUUCAGCGAGUUUAAUUCGCACAGAAAGAAGUUCGUGAGUCCGGACGGAACUACCAGACUGAAACCGAACCGGUUCUGUUGGUCCUUUCCGCAGUUCCUUUCAGAUAGGUGCAGUUUUACCAGAAACUACGCAGUUCGGGAACAGGGCGGGAGUCCCACCGUAUUAACCGGACCGAUAAACGGUCCCGCGGGUAGUCCCGAACCCUGACCCGCUCCGUUCGGUCUUAUCGGGCUCUCACUGGGAACAGAGGCGCCAUGGAGUCUUGGUGGAGCCCUUCCCGGAGCUCCGACACCGGGAGGUAACCAGAGCGGGACAGGAGAGCCUCGCACGGCGGACAGCGGCAACCUGUUGCCGGUUUCCGGUGACUCAGAGAGGAUGAGCGGCGCCGCCGGACCGCCGCUGCCGCUGGUGCUGCUGCUGCUGGGCGGCCGUGCGGCGUUCAUGGUCUGCCGGUCCCUGAACGCACCGCAGGACGGAGCGGUUCUGUCUGCGGAGGUCCAGAUGGACGCUGCUCUGACCGGUGUGGACAGACAGAGACGUCCAUUCCUGGAGAAAACUCGUCCCUUCGUCCUGGUGGAUGGACAGAGACGGAGUCUGGCUCAAGCUGUGCAGGAUGGCCAUCCCGACAGGCUGCUGUGUGAGCUGGAGGUGGGAGGACAGCGCCUCCUGCUGGACCUGGAGAAGAACCACAACCUGCUGCCCAGACCGCCCAACAUCUUCUUCUACCUCCCCAACGGAACCGGAGUGUCUGUGCCGGCCGAGCCUGUGACUCACUGCUAUUACCACGGCAGCAUCCGGGGAUUCCCGCGAUCCAGAGCGGCUCUGAGCUCCUGCUCUGGACUCCGCGGUGUAAUCGUCCUCAACUCCUCUGUGACCUUGGAGCUGCAGCCAGAGGUCAGGGAGCGGCUGGAGGAGCCGGGAGGAGGAGCAGAGGAGGAGGACGUUCACCUGCUGUUCUCUGCCGGUCCUCUGGAGGGCGCCACCGCAGCGGCGGGCUGCGCUGUGCCGCACGCGCCCGGUUCAGCGUCCUCCACUUACAGCGCCAGCCAGCGGACCAAGAGAGACAUCCUGUCUGAGACCAAACACGUGGAGCUGGUGCUGGUGGCGGACCAUCAGGAGUUCCUGAACUACCAGAGGAACAACCAGACCAUCGUGUACCGGCUGAUGGAUGUGGCCAACCAGGUGGACUGGUUCUACCGGCCGCUGAAGGUCCGGGUGGCGCUGACGGGCCUGGAGGUCUGGAGCGACCGCGAUAAGAUCCGGGUAGAGAGGAGCGCCACCGACACGCUCAACAACUUCCUGGAGUGGAGGAGCAGAGAGCUGCUGCCACGCCUUCGCCAUGACAACGCCCAGCUCAUCAUGGGCGAGUCAUUUGACGGUACCACUGUGGGAAUGGCGUCCCAGUCCUCCAUGUGCUCCAGGGACCGAUCCGGAGGUGUCAAUGUGGACCACCUGGUCAGCGUUCUGGGCGUGGCCUCCACCGUCGCCCACGAGCUCGGACACAACCUGGGCAUGAGGCACGACACGGCCGAGCGCCGCUGCUCCUGCGACAACGAGCCCCGCCUCGGAGGAUGCAUCAUGGAGCCGUCAACCGGCUUCAUGCCAGGCCAGCAGUUCAGCAGCUGCAGCGCCGCAGAUCUGUCCGUCAGCCUGCUGCACGGCGGCGGCAUGUGUCUGUUCAACGUGCCGCAGCCCGACCGCCUGCUGGGCGGCCCGCGCUGCGGGAACCUGUACGUGGAGAAAGGAGAGGAGUGUGACUGCGGCCUGCUGGAGGAGUGUGAUGACCCGUGCUGUAACGCCUCCACCUGCCAGCUGGCUCCUGGAGCUCAGUGCUCCUCAGACGGUAUCUGCUGUGAGGACUGUAAGCUGCGCGCAGCGGGCUCAGUGUGCCGUGAGCCGCUGGGAGAGUGUGACCUACCUGAGUACUGCACAGGCUCCUCCCCUCACUGCCCCCCCAAUGUGUUCCUGCAGAACGGAGAGGCCUGCCGGAACGGCGCUUCCUACUGCUAUGGAGGAGUCUGCGCCGAUAUGGAUUCCCAGUGCCAGAUGCUGUGGGGAACCAAUGCCAGCAGCGCUCCAGCCUUGUGCUUCUCAUCCGUCAACAAACAGGGAAAUAAAUAUGGAAACUGUGGUCAGCGGGCCAACGGCUCUUACAUCCCCUGUGCCAACCUAGACGUUCUGUGCGGCAGGAUCCAGUGUCAGGGCGGGACAGAGCGCCCCCUGCUGGGCAGCAUCGCCCAGAUCCUGACCGUUCGCUUCAACCACAGCGACCUGGUCUGCAGAGGGACGUUCUUCCACCUGGACGACGACGUGUCCGACCCGGCCACCGUGGCCCAGGGCACCGCCUGCGGGCCCGGCAAGGCUUGUUUGAAUCAGAAAUGUGAGGAUGCGUCCGUGUUCGGUGUGGAAGAAUGUCGCAGGAAGUGCAGUGGUCAUGGAGUGUGUAACAGCAACAGGAAGUGCCACUGCGACGCCGGCUGGGCUCCUCCUGACUGCAGGUUCUCUGGACGCGGCGGCAGCGUCGACAGCGGCCCGGCCGCCGCCGCUGCAGAGUCCGAUCCGGUCCAGGUCGCCCUGCUCCUCAUCUUCUUCUUCAUCCUGCCCGUGGUGCUCCUCUUCCUCGCUCUGCGCUUCCCCCGAUUUCGCCGGACGCUCUGCUGCCUCGGACCCAACAGCCCAUUCCACAAGGCCCGGCAGCACAACCGGACGCCGGCGACAGAGCGAGUAGACGGUCGCAACGGAGAGCAGGUCCGACCGCUACGAUACCACCUGAACCCGCAGUCCGACGUCGCGCCGGCGCCGCCCCACAAAGAGGUUCAUGACAGGCCUGCUCCUCCCACUAAGCCCCUCCCCCCCGACCCCGCCCUAACACCCCCGCAGCAGCUGGUUAAAGCGCGACCAGCUGCCCCCACCAAGCCUCUGCCCCCUGACCCCAUCGCCCCCGGCAACCAGCCGCCGACGAGCCGACCUGCCCCGCCCAACAAGCCCCUCCCCCCUGACCCACCUGCACAGGUUUCUGUUCCACUAAAGCCCAUCGUACCCAGGAAGCCCCGCCCACUGGCUCCGCCCACUCAGCCUUUCCACCAAUCAGAGAGCAGCUACGCCUCCAGCACCAAGCCGGCUGCGCAGGGCGCCAUGGCGCCUGCAGCAGGUCCUCACAGGUACCCAUAAUCCACCUGGACAUCAUCCUGCAGCUGCCACUGCUGACAGGUGUCGUGGAAAGUCCAAAUGUCCAACAGGAGACCAACAGUCGUCCCCUGAAUGUAAAUGUUCCAUCAGUUCUCUGGUGUAAAAUACAAAAUUAGGAUCAACAGACACUUCAGAGCCUGGAGGUGAUGAAGGUCUUCAUUAUCUUCUUCAUCUUCUUGAUCCUCUCGGUCUCUUUCAUCAGCUGGUUUUGUAGGAGGGACAUCAUCCGGUCCAUGGAGGACAGGUUUGAUGAGUUGAGGUCAGAGGUCAGAUGCACUGCAGUGAGGCUCAGACAGAAGGAAAGAGAAGAAACAAGUAGAAAUUGAUUAGGCUUGUUUUGUAGUUUUCCUUGUUUUUUUAUACAUAAGUAUUUAUGAAACUUAUUUUAACCUUUUGCUUGAUCAUCAGAGAAACCUGAGGGAAACUGUUUGUUCAGCUCUUUGAGCUGCUGGUAGUAAGAAAAGGUCUCUUAUAAAUAAAAUUAAUGAUUUCCUUUUAAGAAAUAAAAUAAUAAUUAUAAUUUAAAAUAAUGAAAUAAUUUUGUUUAUUCAAAGAGAAAAAGACACAUUUUGUUUAAAAUGUUAAGGCCUGUAAUUUAGUAAGAAAGAUUUUAUAUUCAGCAUUUUUAUUCUUUAUUUGUUCCCCUGCUUUUCUUUUUCAAUAUUUAUUAUCAUAUAGUCGAACAAUUCCCCCUGAGGAGGAGAUUGUGUUCUGGAACCAUGUAGACCCGUUCUCCUUGAAUCGGGUGGGAUUUCCUCUUUAGACUGCAAACGUCUCCGCAGAAUCCAACAGAUCAGCUUUGUGGUGGCUCUGCCUCUUACUCCUUUAAGAGGGUCUUUAUUUCCGAUAAAGGUCUUUCGGAUUCUCUAAAGAUUUAGUUCCCCUAAUUUAGAAAACCAAAACUCAAGAAAAUACUUGCCUUAUUCACCGAUAAGGACUUUAACUAGGACCCUCAGCCUAGAAACCCGUGGUUCCCUUUUUUUCUUUAUUUCCCUCGGCCUAAAACCGGCUGUCGGGGGGAGAUUCACCCCCCACUUAUGUUUUUUAUUAUUUUUCUGUUUAUUUUAUAUAUUUUUAUUUCAUUUUUUAUUAUUUUCCUUUGGGACUUUAACCCAACUUUAACACCGUCAAUCUCUAUUCCCCAGGGUGAAAGGUUUAUCGGGUCCUUAACUAUUUUAGAUUUAAUAAUUUAGAAUUUGUAAAAUUAAUUUGUUAGCCUGAGUGAGUUUCCCACCUGAUAACUGGUUUUGAGUUCGUUGAUCCCAGUGCUGGAGCCGUGGAGCCGACCAACAGCCCUCCUCUCUUAAAUCGAGCUUUGAGGCUGGAGUUUAGUCCAGGUCGGCCAAAUGCUGUUCGUCGACGUCCUCGGAUGUCCAGUCGAAGGAUCCGGGUCACGGCACCAAACUGUCGUGGAAAAAAAACUAUUUUCAAUCACUGUUCAGACGACCUCCUCUUCGUCCGAGUCGGCCGCCGGUUCCACCAAAGUUCGAGUCGUCGCCUCCGCUUUAACCCCAGAGGCGCCGAGCUGCUGCUGGACGGAGCGGCCGAAGGUGAUGAUGAAGGUGAUGAUGAAGAUGACUUCCUGUCGUCGGAUCCGGUCCUGCAGGAACUCCAGCUGGAAUCCGACCGCCUCUCAGUGCCUUGCUCAGCAGCGUCACACAAACAUUCUGGGUCCAAACCUGCUGCUGGUGGCCUUACAGCGCCCCCUGCUGGCACCACAGGAUUCUGUACCUUGCUCAUGGACGCACUGGACAGAAAUCAAAGCUGGGGUCAAAGUUCAGACGGUAGAGUUGGAGGAUCAACGCAGUGUCUGAUUGGACGGAGGAGGAACCAAUCAGAUUCUUUAUAUUCCCAUGAACUCCCAAAGACUUCGGAUUAAACCCGGAGAAAAACGAAUCUGAAGACGUUUUCAGUCCAACGAUCACAAAUAUUUCUAGCUCAAGUUUUAUACAAAAUGUUCUGAUGUGAGAAAAAUCAUUGCAGUCGAUUCGUUUAGGAAUAAAAUAUCCAACAUCA